AGCAGCCGCGGUAAUUCCAGCUCCAAUAGCGUAUAUUAAAGUUGUUGCAGUUAAAAAGCUCGUAGUUGAAUUUCGGGAUCAAUAUGUUGGUCGUGCCUCGGUACGUACUAGCUUAUUGGUUUCUCCUUUCUGAAGAACCAUGAUGUCAUUUAUUUGGUGUCGUGGGGAAUCAGGACUGUUACUUUGAAAAAAAUUAGAGUGUUUAAAGCAGGCUCACGCUUGAAUACAUUAGCAUGGAAUAAUGAAAUAGGACGUUUGAUUCUAUUUUGUUGGUUUCUAGGAUCGACGUAAUGAUUAAUAGGGAUAGUUGGGGGCAUUAGUAUUCAAUUGUCAGAGGUGAAAUUCUUGGAUUUAUUGAAGACUAACUACUGCGAAAGCAUUUGCCAAAGGAUGUUUUCAUUAAAUCAAGAACGAAAGUUAGGGGAUCGAAGACGAUCAGAUACCGUCGUAGUCUUAACCAUAAAACUAUGCCGACUAGGG
rnacentral:misc_RNA from 1 species